AGGAAAGGCUGUUUUACUGCUAUUCAUACUCAAGGACCAUUUUUGAUCCCUAGGAAACUGCUUUUAUAAUAGUUGACAAAGCUAUCUUUUGCAAAGUACAGGGAUUGUGGUAGGAUUUAAAUGAAUUGUAUAAAUUUACUAAUAAAAAAUGAGUCCUGUUUUAAGGGGUUAAACAAAAAAACCUAAAAUAGCUAUAGACUGAAAUCCCACUGGAAACAAAGAGGCUUCUAGUGACUAGAUUUCUGAAGCAGCCAAGUAUCCAGUAUGCUGAAGUUCAAUGAAAAUCUUCUGGAUUAUUUUGGAGUGUGGAUUAUUUUGGCCUGUGAUCCUGAAAAAUCUACUGUGAAUCGCAGCAUUGGAGACCGGCAGAGCUGGGAUACCAGACUUCUCAGGACACUAAAUUAGGAAACAAUAAGAAGAAAGCUUUUCUGGGGCAGAUAAAACCUGUGGUUUGUGCCACCACAGAGAUAAAUCUGCGAUGAGCCCCACAGGAGAAGAGGAAGUACAAGAGGAAAUUACACCGCAGCAUCAGGUUGCUGUUCGACCUAAUUCUUCAGGUUUUCAAUUUGUCACCUGCGUAGGUGGGAAACUUCUAGUUUACAAAAAACUUUGCAGGAUGCUGCCUUUGAAUUGGCAAUGCCAAUUGCCGAUGUUGCUCUUGCUCUAGUGUUGCUGAAUGCUCAGUUAGAAGGCAGAAGGGAAAGCUGUGAGGAGAACCUCACCAAAGGGCUCCAUCUCCAAUAUAGUAGGUAGCAAUAACACUAAAUAUGUGGAUUGUAAGUGAUAAAAGUUGUGUGCAUUUUCUCCAGAAGAAGAUAGGCAGACUCCAUUAUAUUGCUAAACACAGUCUGCUUUUUGUGGAUCUAGACUUCUCUCAUGUUAGUUAGACCAAAAGCUGAUUAGGGGAAGAAGCUGCAACUCAUCUUGUGUGCACACUGCUUAGGACUGGGAGCCUUAGGCUAGGCUUGGGAAUGGAGGAAGGAUAUGUGUCUUGGUGUGUAUGUUUGUAUUUUACAGCUAUAAAAGUUCAA